rnacentral:lncRNA from 1 species
CACUGAGCUCUGGGUGGAUUACGGUGAAGGAGGCCUGGCGGUCGGUCCCAGCCAGUUUGGGCCGGAGAAGAGCUUCUCUGGACAGGCACCUUGUCCCCAAAGGACGGCACAGAGGGCCAGCUCCGGACCUCAGGCGUGUGGCUCCUCUCCUUUGUGAGCACUAAACCGGUUCCUCGUUCUACGGCGCCCUUCUCACCGCAGUGGCUGUUGCAGGCAAGGGCCGCUCACUCCUCCCCUGCACUCCUCACUGGCUGAUAAAAGUGGGCUGCACCGAACACGUCGUUGUCUCUUGCGCGAACUGAGGCACUGACCCCCUGGUUCCCCUGCGCCUGCAAAUUUCUUUUUCUUUAUCCCUCAUCGUACCCUGGAGCAGGCAACUGAGCGUCUGAUCAGUGCUCGGUAAAAGUGACGUCUGGGGCGGCAGCAGCCGUUUUGCAAUCAGAAGGCAAGGAGCAGGGGGUCAGCCGGACACACAGCCGUGGAAGGACCAACGAGAAAAGACUGGCACAGUGGGAGCGUGAACAAAACGGGCAGCUGCCUACUUGUGCAUUUACUUUCUUUUUCUUUGGUUUUGUUUCUGGCUCCAGAGUUUUUGUUUAUUAAAUAAGCAAACAGCCGGAGUUUGGCUCAGUGGUUCUGCCUCCUGCCUUACAAGUGCAAGGUCCCGAGUUCGAUUCCUGCUACCAAAAAUAAAUAAAUAAGCCAAAAGCCGUUAGCCUGGGGGUCUCCAUGGAGCCCCUACCUAAGAAAGCCAACUUUAAUUACCAGGCAAAUCAACUGGA